rnacentral:rRNA from 1 species
GAUGAACGCUGGCGGCGUGCUUAACACAUGCAAGUCGAACGAAGCACUUAUUAUUUAAUCUUCGGAAGCGAUUUUAAGUGACUUAGUGGCGGACGGGUGAGUAACGCGUGGGUAACCUGCCCUAUACAGGGGGAUAACAGUUAGAAAUGACUGCUAACACCGCAUAAGCGCACACUAUCGCAUGAUAGAGUGUGAAAAUAUUUAUAGGUAUAGGAUGGGCCCGCGUCUGAUUAGCUAGUUGGUAAGGUAACGGCUUACCAAGGCAACGAUCAGUAGCCGGCUUGAGAGAGUGAACGGCCACAUUGGGACUGAGACACGGCCCAAACUCCUACGGGAGGCAGCAGUGGGGAAUAUUGCACAAUGGGGGAAACCCUGAUGCAGCGACGCCGCGUGAGUGAAGAAGUAUUUCGGUAUGUAAAGCUCUAUCAGCAGGGAAGAAAAUGACGGUACCUGACUAAGAAGCACCGGCUAAAUACGUG